GACGAACGCUGGCGGCGUGCUUAACACAUGCAAGUCGAACGGAAAGGCCCUGCUUGCAGGGUGCUCGAGUGGCGAACGGGUGAGUAACACGUGGGUGAUCUGCCCCUUACUUUGGGAUAAGCCUGGGAAACUGGGUCUAAUACUGGAUAGGACCAUGCUGUAGGUGGUGUGGUGGAAAGAUUAGUUUCGGUAAGGGAUGAGCUCGCGGCCUAUCAGCUUGUUGGUGGGGUAAUGGCCUACCAAGGCGUCGACGGGUAGCCGGCCUGAGAGGGUGGACGGCCACAUUGGGACUGAGAUACGGCCCAGACUCCUACGGGAGGCAGCAGUGGGGAAUAUUGCACAAUGGGCGCAAGACGGAUGCAGCGACGCCGCGUGGGGGAUGACGGCCUUCGGGUUGUAAACUCCUUUCAGCCAUGACGAAGCGCUGGUGGUGACGGUAGUGGUAGAAGAAGCACCGGCUAACUACGUG
rnacentral:rRNA from 1 species